UACGAAGGGGGCUAGCGUUGCUCGGAAUCACUGGGCGUAAAGGGUGCGUAGGCGGGUCUUUAAGUCAGGGGUGAAAUCCUGGAGCUCAACUCCAGAACUGCCUUUGAUACUGAGGAUCUUGAGUUCGGGAGAGGUGAGUGGAACUGCGAGUGUAGAGGUGAAAUUCGUAGAUAUUCGCAAGAACACCGGUGGCGAAGGCGGCGUUCUGGACUGCAACUGACACUGAUGAACGAAAGCCAGGGGAGCAAACGGG
rnacentral:rRNA from 1 species